rnacentral:lncRNA from 1 species
CAGCAAGACUGAACCAGUUUUGUGUUUAUUUGCUUACUGAUAAGGGAGAUCACAUUUUCUCACAAAGAGAGAGUGUGUGAAUAUCUGUGGAGCAGCAGAAGGACCAUAUACAAGCACCGAGUCUGCCCACAAUGUGGGAGAAAGAAACAUACCAAGAAUUAACCCUCAGUCCUUCUCUGAAGCAUCCUACUUGAUUGAGCAGGCAACACACUCUGGGGAACAGGCUUUUGGACCGAUAUAUUUAUUUACCUAAGGAAUGCACUCACUAGGAAAUAAAAACAACCAACCAAAGAACAGAUAACUCGUGAAACAGAAUAAGGAUUGACACAGCAAUAAUGUAAAUAUGAAUGCAAUAAAAUAAUUCAAGAGAUAAA